GUGACCGUGGCUCAACUGGAUAGAGCGUCAGCCGGUGAAGCUGAAAGUUGCGGGUUCAAAUCCCGUCGGCCACCCA
rnacentral:tRNA from 1 species